UGGUCAAAUAACCUUCCUUUGUGGUUCACAGGUCACUGGAUCACCAGAAGGCCUGAUGGAGAGAACAGGAUCAUUGGUGAUCUGCUUUGAGCUGGGUGUGCUGUGUAGAGGAAACUGAAACAGAGUUGUGAGAAGCCAAGAAGAGGAAUGCAAAAGAAGCUGCCUGGACUUCCCAGGGCCCAAGAAGACAGGGAAGAUCUCAAUGAAGCUGAUGACAUAGAUGAGGAAUAUGGAGAUGACAAAGACGGUGAUAAUCAUGUUUCCACACAGUCCUUGGUGCCUGACUGAUUAGAUACAGAUUUCCUCAAUGGAGUCAACGAUCAUAUUCUUUGUUUUACACAGAUAACUUGGACAAGAAGCCCAGCUCUCUACAAUGAAAUUCAGCUACAAUUCAGCUGCAAAGUGGG